GAGGCUGCAAUUGAGGGGGCGCUGUUAGGCACAGUGCAGGUGAUAGCUGGACGCCAGCACAGACUCACUGUUGAGGUGGAACAGAGAGUUCCCGCCUCCUGGAUCUGCCAUCCUUCUGGUCCUCUGGGACUGGAACACAUUCCUCUCUGUCCGUGGCUGCAGAGAUCACCAUGGGUCAGCAGUCAACCUAGGUCUUCCACC
rnacentral:lncRNA from 1 species